GCGGGCCCAAUACACUGCCCUGUGGUACCCCGCUUGUGGCAGUUUACGGCUCCAAUUGGUUGUUACUGUAGUGUUCAGACAACUACCAUAUUGCUGCCUCGCUGAUCGUGGUUAAUGAAGUUCCUCGUGUCAUUCGUCGAGGAAGGUGACGUGAAGAUGUAAGAUAUGGGCCACAAGACGAAGGUUUGUUUUGGUUAACGGGUCUCUUGCUGCACCACAUUGGAAACUUUCUGUUAUAACCUAGGGUACAGUACAGUGUAUAUCUUUGUGGUUUUAGUUUUUAUUAAGGAUCUGGGAUCACAGUUUAAAAAUUCAAGUAAUUGUGUUAAAGACCUUUGAAAUAAUUAGAUAUUUUAAGUAGAUUACGCUGUGCCCGUAAGUUUUAAAAGGCCUUUAUGGAUGGUCUUAAAUAUGUUGACCAUCUUUACUGUAUGAAGUUAGUUUCACGUUGUCAAAAUAUUUGUCAAAUAUUCCUGACCUAAUACCUUUGUCUUCAGCACUUGGGGUAAAAAAAUAGUUUAAAUAUCCUACAAAGGUACAGGGUACUACUUUACCUGAUUUUAAAUCUGGGUUCACAAAUUAGUUAUUAUGUUAAUGACUUUUUGAAACAAUUAGAUAUUUAAAGUAGAUUACUUAGGCUUUGCCCGUAUUUUUUAAAAGGCCUUCAUGUACGUUUUAUAAAUAACAUAGACUAUUGGGGUGUCAACUGCAUGGAAAAGCCAGGAAACUUUACAAACAAAUGGGGUAAUUUAUUUGGGUUAAGUUAUACUUAAAUAUAGUUUUUUGGCAUCAAUCUUGGGAUUAAAUUAAUGCUGUACUGUAUAAUAGGUAAAUAAUUACUGUACUUUUAGGAACAUUCCACAGCAAUAAUGAUGAUAGUUCAAGUUAGUGAUCAAAUAUUACAGGUUAUACCUACUGCUGUGAGUAUUGUCCAGUGAAUUGUUCUUAUAAUGGACUUGUUCCACAUUAAUAAAGGUUCAAAUAGGUGGAUAGUGGAGUGUUGUCCCAUGUCAGGUUAAGGUUGUCACCAGGGAGGGUCGCUAAAAUAUCUUCAGUGGUCCCUCCAUUAACCGACACAAUUAGUUCCACGGAGUCGUUCGUUUACUGAUUCUAUAUACUGUAGUGUUAUAUAUUAAUAAAAUAUUAAUAAAUAAACUUAAAAUAGUUCAACACAAAAUGUUAUUGUUUAAAUUUAUUUUAGUAAAAUUGUGAAUGUUGUCAAGCUAUUCGGUUCUCCAGCCACUGACUUAAGUUUAGUUUAAUAUUAAUAUAUAUCUAUUAGUGGGAAUUUAAUCAACAAUAAAACAUUAUAAUUAAAGUAUAAUUUAUUUAUAUUAUGUAUCAUUUAUAAAUAAAAUGCUUUUAUUAUAGUAUUAAUAAUGAAAACUUGUAAUUACUGAAAGAUAAGAGAGAGAAUCGGACAAGGUGUAGCAGGUCGACAUCAACCAAGGUGGCCGUCUUGUUUAUUGUUGUU